rnacentral:rRNA from 1 species
AUGCAGUCGAGCGAAUGGAUUAAGAGCUUGCUCUUAUGAAGUUAGCGGCGGACGGGUGAGUAACACGUGGGUAACCUGCCCAUAAGACUGGGAUAACUCCGGGAAACCGGGGCUAAUACCGGAUAACAUUUUGAACCGCAUGGUUCGAAAUUGAAAGGCGGCUUCGGCUGUCACUUAUGGAUGGACCCGCGUCGCAUUAGCUAGUUGGUGAGGUAACGGCUCACCAAGGCAACGAUGCGUAGCCGACCUGAGAGGGUGAUCGGCCACACUGGGACUGAGACACGGCCCAGACUCCUACGGGAGGCAGCAGUAGGGAAUCUUCCGCAAUGGACGAAAGUCUGACGGAGCAACGCCGCGUGAGUGAUGAAGGCUUUCGGGUCGUAAAACUCUGUUGUUAGGGAAGAAC